UACGUAGGGUGCAAGCCGUUAAUCGGAAUACUGGGCGUAAAGCGUGCGCAGGCGGCUUUGCAAGACAGAUGUGAAAUCCCCGGGCUCAACCUGGGAACUGCAUUUGUGACUGCAUGGCUAGAGUACGGUAGAGGGGGAUGGAAUUCCGCGUGUAGCAGUGAAAUGCGUAGAUAUGCGGAGGAACACCGAUGGCGAAGGCAAUCCCUGGACCUGUACUGACGCUCAUGCACGAAGCGUGGGAGCA
rnacentral:rRNA from 1 species